UUAAGCGACUAAGCGUACACGGUGGAUGCCCUGGCAGUCAGAGGCGAUGAAGGACGUGCUAAUCUGCGAAAAGCGUCGGUAAGGUGAUAUGAACCGUUAUAACCGGCGAUGUCCGAAUGGGGAAACCCAGUGCAAUUCGUUGCACUAUCGUUAACUGAAUACAUAGGUUAACGAGGCGAACCGGGGGAACUGAAACAUCUAAGUACCCCGAGGAAAAGAAAUCAACCGAGAUUCCCCCAGUAGCGGCGAGCGAACGGGGAGCAGCCCAGAGUCUGAAUCAGCUUGUGUGUUAGUGGAACGGUCUGGAAAGUCCGACGGUACAGGGUGAUAGUCCCGUACACCAAAAUGCACAGGUUGUGAACUCGAAGAGUAGGGCGGGACACGUGGUAUCCUGUCUGAAUAUGGGGGGACCAUCCUCCAAGGCUAAAUACUCCUGACUGACCGAUAGUGAACCAGUACCGUGAGGGAAAGGCGAAAAGAACCCCGGCGAGGGGAGUGAAAAAGAACCUGAAACCGUGUACGUACAAGCAGUGGGAGCACCUUCGGGUGUGACUGCGUACCUUUUGUAUAAUGGGUCAGCGACUUAUAUUCUGUAGCAAGGUUAACCGUAUAGGGGAGCCGCAGGGAAACCGAGUCUUAACUGGGCGUUAAGUUGCAGGGUAUAGACCCGAAACCCGGUGAUCUAGCCAUGGGCAGGUUGAAGGUUGGGUAACACUAACUGGAGGACCGAACCGACUAAUGUUGAAAAAUUAGCGGAUGACUUGUGGCUGGGGGUGAAAGGCCAAUCAAACCGGGAGAUAGCUGGUUCUCCCCGAAAGCUAUUUAGGUAGCGCCUCGUGAAUUCAUCUUCGGGGGUAGAGCACUGUUUCGGCUAGGGGGUCAUCCCGACUUACCAACCCGAUGCAAACUACGAAUACCGAAGAAUGUUAUCACGGGAGACACACGGCGGGUGCUAACGUCCGUCGUGAAGAGGGAAACAACCCAGACCGCCAGCUAAGGUCCCAAAGUCAUGGUUAAGUGGGAAACGAUGUGGGAAGGCACAGACAGCCAGGAUGUUGGCUUAGAAGCAGCCAUCAUUUAAAGAAAGCGUAAUAGCUCACUGGUCGAGUCGGCCUGCGCGGAAGAUGUAACGGGGCUAAACCAUGCACCGAAGCUGCGGCAGCGACACUAUGUGUUGUUGGGUAGGGGAGCGUUCUGUAAGCCUGCGAAGGUGACCUGUGAGGGUUGCUGGAGGUAUCAGAAGUGCGAAUGCUGACAUAAGUAACGAUAAAGCGGGUGAAAAGCCCGCUCGCCGGAAGACCAAGGGUUCCUGUCCAACGUUAAUCGGGGCAGGGUGAGUCGACCCCUAAGGCGAGGCCGAAAGGCGUAGUCGAUGGGAAACAGGUUAAUAUUCCUGUACUUGGUGUUACUGCGAAGGGGGGACGGAGAAGGCUAUGUUAGCCGGGCGACGGUUGUCCCGGUUUAAGCAUGUAGGCUGGUUGUCCAGGCAAAUCCGGAUAAUCAAGGCUGAGGUGUGAUGACGAGGCACUACGGUGCUGAAGUAACAAAUGCCCUGCUUCCAGGAAAAGCCUCUAAGCAUCAGGUAACAUCAAAUCGUACCCCAAACCGACACAGGUGGUCAGGUAGAGAAUACCAAGGCGCUUGAGAGAACUCGGGUGAAGGAACUAGGCAAAAUGGUGCCGUAACUUCGGGAGAAGGCACGCUGGUGUGUAGGUGAAGUCCCUGCGGAUGGAGCUGAGACCAGUCGAAGAUACCAGCUGGCUGCAACUGUUUAUUAAAAACACAGCACUGUGCAAACACGAAAGUGGACGUAUACGGUGUGACGCCUGCCCGGUGCCGGAAGGUUAAUUGAUGGGGUUAUCCGUAAGGAGAAGCUCUUGAUCGAAGCCCCGGUAAACGGCGGCCGUAACUAUAACGGUCCUAAGGUAGCGAAAUUCCUUGUCGGGUAAGUUCCGACCUGCACGAAUGGCGUAAUGAUGGCCAGGCUGUCUCCACCCGAGACUCAGUGAAAUUGAACUCGCUGUGAAGAUGCAGUGUACCCGCGGCAAGACGGAAAGACCCCGUGAACCUUUACUAUAGCUUGACACUGAACAUUGAGCCUUGAUGUGUAGGAUAGGUGGGAGGCUUUGAAGCGUGGACGCCAGUCUGCGUGGAGCCAACCUUGAAAUACCACCCUUUAAUGUUUGAUGUUCUAACGUUGGCCCCUGAUCGGGGUUGCGGACAGUGUCUGGUGGGUAGUUUGACUGGGGCGGUCUCCUCCCAAAGCGUAACGGAGGAGCACGAAGGUUAGCUAAUCCUGGUCGGACAUCAGGAGGUUAGUGCAAUGGCAUAAGCUAGCUUGACUGCGAGCGUGACGGCGCGAGCAGGUGCGAAAGCAGGUCAUAGUGAUCCGGUGGUUCUGAAUGGAAGGGCCAUCGCUCAACGGAUAAAAGGUACUCCGGGGAUAACAGGCUGAUACCGCCCAAGAGUUCAUAUCGACGGCGGUGUUUGGCACCUCGAUGUCGGCUCAUCACAUCCUGGGGCUGAAGUAGGUCCCAAGGGUAUGGCUGUUCGCCAUUUAAAGUGGUACGCGAGCUGGGUUUAGAACGUCGUGAGACAGUUCGGUCCCUAUCUGCCGUGGGCGCUGGAGAAUUGAGGGGGGCUGCUCCUAGUACGAGAGGACCGGAGUGGACGCAUCACUGGUGUUCGGGUUGUCAUGCCAAUGGCACUGCCCGGUAGCUAAAUGCGGAAGAGAUAAGUGCUGAAAGCAUCUAAGCACGAAACUUGCCCCGAGAUGAGUUCUCCCUGAGACUUUAAGUCUCCUGAAGGAACGUUGAAGACGACGACGUUGAUAGGCCGGGUGUGUAAGCGCAGCGAUGCGUUGAGCUAACCGGUACUAAUGAACCGUGAGGCUUAACCUU
rnacentral:rRNA from 1 species